CAGGGUUUGGGGCCCGAAGGCUGCAGGAAGACUUGUCAGCAAACACAGGGAGCAGCGGUGCAGGGGGAGACACACUUGCUAUUUCUCUACCACGAAGUAUGCAGAACUCUUAGCCAACUCACAUUCAUCAAAUACUUGUCCACGUCGUUGGCUUCAAGACCAGGUGGCGAUGAAUUUCAGAUUGCUAAUUAUAUCUUUAAAUUUUGGCAUCCUUCGCGGUGGCUUGUCGAAUUGGUAAGAGUGAGUAGGAGAGCCCCUUGGUUUCCCACCUGCUCUCGGGUAAUUAAGGAAUGCUGUGGGACCGCGGCAUUUCUCUGAGAUGAAGGCUGGAAGCCCAGGUGGCUGGACAUUGAAAAGUGUUCUGUGCGUUUGCCAAUGUCUGGGCACAACACCAUCCUUCCUGCUUCCCUUUUAAAGAGGAAUUGAACUGACAAUAUGCAUGUCUGUGAAGAAAACACUCGUGUCCUAUUUUUUAAAAUUUACUUAAUCGUUUCUUUAGUUUUCCAUUGUUUUCUUAAAAACACACAUUGCAGCAUCCCUAUUUGUUCUCCUCGGCUUGUAUUUUGUCCUCUUUCUGCAAAUAGCACCCUCUUCCCCUUCAAGGAACCACCAGUCUCCUACCUGAAGUGCUCCUGGCCAGGCCGUGACUACCACGCACUAUCCCCUCACCACAGAAGGCUGUGUGUGCCCCCGCUGACCCGUCAGAGAGCCCUGCCCCUGGACAGCUGUGUCUUGUGCCCUUGUGAUCAUGGUUAUUCCUACGUCUCUCCGCCAAUUGGGCUCAAUUUUAGAAAGCAGAUUGGCCAACAUUUUCUGUGGAGGACCAGUAAGUGGUUCUGAAGGCAUGACAGCCGGCGCCCCGAGACAACCAAGAGGUGAAAGGUGCGGGGCCCGACGCCGUGAGUGAGAACCCGGUAACACCAGGGUCAACGGAACGUGUUGGGCUUAAUCCGACAGGGCCAGUCCCGAAGGUCCGUCCAUAGGAGUGGGAACAGCAGGCCGGGCCGCAGACCCAAGGGAUCCCACCCCCCCCACCCCCGCCCCAGCACUGGCGUGAGCAAAACCAGGCGUCUGGUCAUUCCUACUACGUUGUGCUGACGAGCCAGAGCCAUGGCCCGCUGUCGUCUGUGCACAGAUGCCCCCAGGACCUCCCUGGCCGCCCUCCGAUGCUGCGGGCAAGGCGGUGGGAUCGCUCACAUUGUAAGAGAGGGAACUCGGGCCCCUGCCCGGCGCCCAGAGCCCCCCCGGGCCUCGGGACACGUGCUGUGUUGGACACGGAAAGGGACACUCCACGGCUGGCUGCCGUGCUGGGGGCAGGUGGCUGCAGACGUGGAGGGACCGGAAGGGUCAGAAGGGGCCUGCGGGCUGCCCCCCCAUGCCAGGGGCCUACAGGUGGAAGGACGUGGAGUGGCCCCAUCAUGUGGUAACCAGGAAGCCCCCGAAGCUGGCUCCCUGAACUGCAGCAGUCACAUCUUGCAUUUUC
rnacentral:lncRNA from 12 species